AACGUAGGACGCAAGCGUUAUCCGGAGUUACUGGGCGUAAAGGGUGCGUAGGCGGCGCGGUAAGUCGGGUGUGAAAUCUCGGGGCUUAACUCCGAAACUGCAUUCGAUACUGCCGUGCUUGAGGACUGGAGAGGAGACUGGAAUUUACGGUGUAGCGGUGAAAUGCGUAGAUAUCGUAAGGAAGACCAGUGGCGAAGGCGGGUCUCUGGACAGUUCCUGACGCUGAGGCACGAAGGCCAGGGGAGCAAACGGG
rnacentral:rRNA from 1 species